GUGUGACAGACUGGAUCUAAAAAUGUUGGUCGAUUCCCUUUAGCUUGGUACUGCCCAUCAUUUAAAUAAUUUUAUAUAUAAGCUCCAGGGCCGAGUAUUUUACCAAGUAAUUUGUAUUUCUGUUGUUACUGUUGUUGUAGAUUUUUUAACAAAUUCUCAAUGCUGACAAAUCAAAAACAAUCAUAAACAUAGAGUAUUCGUAUCUUGAUUUUCGACAAACUAUUGCAUUUAAUAAAUCUUAACAUGUAAUAGGACUUUAAAGAAUAAGCAUGAUUUUUUUUUAGAAUAAACUCUUUUGUUUAUACGUGUAUUGUAGAUAAAGUUCAAGGUGUUCUGUGAUAUUUUGUUUUGCAUAGGUAGGGGUUUGCUGAUUUUAUUAAAAGAAACCCUCUAAAGAUAGAAAUGAGAAGUUUUGUAAGGUCCAAUUUUACCUAAAAUACUGUAUUUUUAUACCCAUGAUUGGUACAUUCAGAUUGUAUAAAAUGUUUUCCUGCAUUUUGACGUUCUAUUCACAACUUUAAUUUUAAAGGCAAAACAUUUGCUAAUCUCAGAAGGUCUCAUACGAACGUAAAUCUUUGGACUGUUUUCUUUUCACAAAUUUUACCUUUCCGUAAACAAUAAGUGAGUUGCAAAACAUAUGAUAAAAUUCUUCACUUUUUUGUUUGUAACAUCCUUUAUGUGAAUUUUCUUGAAUCGUAUACAGUUUAUUUCUUUUAUCUGCUUGACUUCGUAUGUACAUCAUAGAAUUGUCCCUCCAGUUUACAAAUUUGUGAAUACAUAGUGUACAUUUGUUACUUGAAUAAACGAUUUUUUG
rnacentral:misc_RNA from 1 species